UCAACCAUCAAGCCUGGCUUGCCAUUGGGUCCUGAUAUCGUUAAAAGAUAGGCCCGAAAGGUAAUGGCAGUGUCGAGUUUUGGCCCCAGGUGCAGCGAGCUUCAAGCAUACACCGAGGUGGUCUUCUCGGCCUGGCCCUGUCAAACCCAUUUUCAA
rnacentral:misc_RNA from 1 species